GACGUACGCUGGCGGCGUGCUUAACACAUGCAAGUCGAACGGAAAGGCCCUGCUUUUGUGGGGUGCUCGAGUGGCGAACGGGUGAGUAACACGUGAGUAACCUGCCCUUGACUUUGGGAUAACUUCAGGAAACUGGGGCUAAUACCGGAUAGGAGCUCCUGCUGCAUGGUGGGGGUUGGAAAGUUUCGGCGGUUGGGGAUGGACUCGCGGCUUAUCAGCUUGUUGGUGGGGUAGUGGCUUACCAAGGCUUUGACGGGUAGCCGGCCUGAGAGGGUGACCGGCCACAUUGGGACUGAGAUACGGCCCAGACUCCUACGGGAGGCAGCAGUGGGGAAUAUUGCACAAUGGGCGGAAGCCUGAUGCAGCAACGCCGCGUGCGGGAUGACGGCCUUCGGGUUGUAAACCGCUUUCGCCUGUGACGAAGCGUGUGUGACGGUAAUGGGUAAAGAAGCACCGGCUAACUACGUG
rnacentral:rRNA from 1 species